rnacentral:lncRNA from 1 species
GGCCCCAAAACAGAAAGGCAAGCUCACCACCAGAAUGUGUCUUUUCCUUAUCAAAAAGAAUUGUCGCCCCUUACAGGACAGGAGGACUCCAAUUGUGACCAAGCUGGACCAGUCUUGAGCCACAACUCAGACUUAUUUUCAUUCUCUGCUCAUUGGCCAUUAGGAACCCGAUCCUUAUGACCUGCAGUGACCUGCUGCUACCAGAACUGACUCGCUUCGAAGUGACGGAUGAAACCCAUAUGGAGAUAUUCCUGGGGUGGUUAGGCCAGUUGGAAGACAGAGUGCUUACACCUGAGAGAGGACUUGAGCAUAUCUGAACUUUUUGCACCAUUCAGGAAAGAGAAAAGGGGAAUUUUACUCAGAGUCACGUUGCUCACUGCUGUGCACUCCUGCAGGCACAUCCCAGUGGACUCUGCGCUGCAUCCCCAAAGUACAGCGUGUUUCCCGCCUCCCAUUAGAGAUCCAAUACAUAUUUUUUUGAAAGAAGAAACUGAUGGAAGAGAGGAAGCAAAAAGGAGAGGAAGGAAAGGGAUAGGAAGGAGGGGAAGAAAGGGACAGGAAGGAGGAAAAGGAAAGGGAAAGGAAGGAAAAGAAAGGAAAGGGAACUUGAAAUCCUACAAGGUCUCAAAGUCAAAUAACAUGAUUGCUGUUUUAGAGAAUUGAAGAUCCUUCCUCUUCAAGAAUCUGAAAUCUACCAUGAUCUUCGCAUGUAGCAAAACACAAUGGGAUGUGGUCAUUUAAGAGUGCUGUGAAGGCAGUGUGUGUACAUAGUCAUUUAAGAGUGCUGUGAAGGCAGUGAAAAGCAGUUGAAAUACCAUUAGUUAACAGAUUGUCCAAUGAAGUCGAUGACAACUGUGAUAAGAAAUUACUCACUAUCACAGCGUCUCCAAGAGAUGAACAGUGGAUGAUGCUUCCAAAGCACAGAUGUCCCUCUCCUCCUCAACCUUCUUUCCCCAGAAAGAUGUCAACACUGUGGAGAUUGUGCCAUGAAGACACCUGUACCCAGUUCCUGAUUUCACACCAAGCCCUUGCUGAGGAUAUAAGAAUAAUAAAAAGGGGAGCCCUGGCUCUUCCUCUCCUUUAGUGUCUUUCCUGGAAGUGGACUGCGAGAAGAGCUUCUUCAGCCACCUUCUGCCUGCAGACAAUCUCCAUGAGUUUGCUUUAGAAGAAGGCUUCAAUUUGAAGAAAGUCAAAUAAAACAAGGUCAUUGUGUUUGCAAUUGAUCCUUGGAGACAGCGACAUCUGCAAAGCUUCCAUGCCACGGUGGUUCCACCUUCACAAGUAUCCUUCAAAGGCAUCCUGCAACCACCCCAUCCAUCCAAGUACUCAGUUGUAGGAUUCAAAAGCAAAUUGCAGGGUUUGCUGCCCGGCAGAGAAGCAUAGACACAAAGCAUGAGAGAGCAAAAUCUAUGAGUUGACCAUAUUAUAAACACAAAUAGAUAUAUGCAGAAAAUAGGCAAUAAACUUAAACAAUAGGACUAUGAGUAGACAUAGCAAGUGCUGGGUAGAAAUGACAGUUUUGUGUCCUGUUAGAGCUAAGUCAGAAAGCUGGGUCGAAGUGAAUGUGAGGGAGCAAAAGGCCAUUAAAAUAUUUAAGGAGCAGCUCCAAUAUUUUUAAAACGUGAAGGAAAACUUGCAAGCAAUCUCCAGGGCUGGAGGGAGAGAAAUGCAAAGCCCCCUCAGCCUGCUCCACAAUUAUCUUUUGCAUUCCAAUAACUGACAUGCUGCUGAAUGUUAUGACUAUUUGUUUAUUGUUGACUGUUCUUGGCACUGCUCAGUGUAGCCAAAGAUUCCUUGCCUACAAUAAAGGCUUGCUCAGACAAUAAACCACGGAGAAAGAAAA